CCCAGUCACGAUACGAAUCAGGGUUUGGUUCUGGAGAGGCCGCCUGAGAAACGGCGACCACUUCCAAGGAAGGCAGCAGGCGCGCAAAUUACCCACUCUCAAAACGAGGAGGUAGUGAAGAGAAAUAACGAUGUUAGUCUUUUAUAGGCUGACAAUCGGAAUGGAAACACUGUAAAUAGGUUAUUGAUUAACAAUUGGAGGGCAAGUCUGGUGCCAGCAGCCGCGGUAAUUCCAGCUCCAAUAAGGAAAACUAAAGUUGCUGUGUUUAAAAAGCUCGUAGUUGAAUUUCGGGUAUUUGUUGCCGGUUGGUCUUCGCGACCAUAUUGGUUAACAGAUCCUCACUUGCUGGACGGCUGGCGAUGAUCUUUAUCGGUUGUCGUCAGUUGCCAGAACGUUUACUUUGAGAAAAUUAGAGUGCUAAAAGCAGGCUCACGCCUAUAUAUAUUGCAUGGAAUAAUGAAAUAAGAUCUCGAUUUUAUUUCGUUGGUUUUAGAAAUUGAGAUAAUGAUUAAUAGGAUCAGAGGGGGGCGUACGUACUGUGGUGUGAGAGGUGAAAUUCUUGGAUCGCCACAGGACGAACAGCAGCGAAGGCGUUCGCCAAGAAUGUUUUCAUUAAUCAAGAUCGAAAGUUUAAGGUUCGAAGACGAUUAGAUACCGUCCUAGUUCAAACCAUAAACGUUGCCAACUGUCUUUUAGAUGCGGUUACAUUUAUGACUCAUCUGGCGGAUCUCGAGAAAUCUAAGUUUUUAGGUUCCGGGGGAAGUAUGGUUGCAAAGCUGAAACUUAAAAGAAUUGACGGAAGGACACACAAGAAGUGGAGCCUGUGGCCUAAUUUGACAACACGGGAAACCUUACUCGGCCAGGACACUUUUAGGAUUGACAGAUUGAGAGCUCUUUCUUGAUUAGGUGGGUGGUGGUGCAUGGUCGUUCGUAGUUCGUGGAGCGAUUUGUCUGAUUAAUUUCGAUAACGAACGAGACUCCGGCUUACUAAAUAGUCUAAAGUUCGCAGGGACUUUUCAAGACUUCUUAGCAGGAUAAGUGGCACUUUUUAAGCCACACGAAAUGGAGCAAUAACAGGUCUGUGAUGCCCUUAGAUGUCCGAGGCUGCACGCGCGCUACACUGGAGAGUUCAGAAUGUUUCUUCCUACUUCGGCAGAAGUGGGUAACCAUUAAAUUCUCUUCGUGACUGGGAUCGGAGCUUGCAAUUAUUCUCCGUCAACGAGGAAUUCCUAGUAAGCACUAUUCCAUCAGAAUGUGCUGAUUAUGUCCCUGUCCUUUGUACACACCGAGGUAUCGUGACUGGGAAAC
rnacentral:rRNA from 1 species